GCCCUCCUCGUCUUCCUGCGGUCUGGGGACCCGUUGCACCCGGUGGCGGCAGCUCGCCGGAGACCGAACCGCUCGCCGGAGACCCCCCCCCCCCCGGGCGCCGUGAAGCCACGGCGCCGCCAGAGCUCGCUUCUAGGAGUCACUGGGUUCUACACCACUCAGUCCAAUCAAACCAAGGCGAGGGAAGUGCCGCUCCGCGGUGGAAGCUCAGAGAUCGAGGGAGGAGGAAGAUGGCCGGUUGGCCGCCGCCGCCGCCGCAUCUCACGCGCCGGCGGCCAGGUGGACAGGCCAUGGCGGCGCCGCCCAUUCUGCUGUUUGCUCGGUGAGUUGCCAUAG
rnacentral:lncRNA from 1 species